rnacentral:rRNA from 1 species
AACGAACGCUGGCGGCGUGCCUAACACAUGCAAGUCGAGCGAGAAAGUGGCUUCGGCCAUGAGUACAGCGGCGCACGGGUGAGUAACACGUGGAUAAUCUGCCUUGGGGAUUGGGAUAACCUGCCGAAAGGCGGGCUAAUACCGGAUGUGUUCCUCUGACCUGCGGGUUGGAGGAGGAAAGGAGCUGAAAGGUUCCGCCCUGGGAUGAGUCCGCGGCCCAUCAGGUAGUUGGUGAGGUAACGGCUCACCAAGCCUAAGACGGGUAGCUGGUCUGAGAGGAUGAUCAGCCACACUGGAACUGAGACACGGUCCAGACUCCUACGGGAGGCAGCAGUGGGGAAUUUUGGUCAAUGGGCGCAAGCCUGAACCAGCAACGCCGCGUGGGUGAUGAAGGCC